UUGACCAAAAGUUUUAAAAAUCAUUUCUCUAGUAAAUAAUUUCUUUAAAAAUUAAAACAAAAAAUACUUUCUACAUAAUUUUUUUAGAGGAAAUACUUUCCUCGUGAAAGUAGGAAGACUUUCCAAAAUAUUGGAGCUGGUGAAAGCACGCUGAAGUUCAUAAAAGAAAAUGCUUGAGUUCAAUCUUCUAACAUGUGAAACUUAUAUAUUUUGGAGUUCGAAUAAAAACUUAGUAAAAGUGAUUGUCUCUGCUUUUUUAAAGUAUGAAGUACUUUAUCCAAAUUUUAUUUUUGUAUUAACAAUACGGAAACCAUUUUCAUUGACUUUUGAACAUGAACAAUUACAUGCUUUAGAAAUGGCUAUUCAUGAACUUUGUUUGAUUGCAUUUUUUCCCUACCAUUAAAUGAUAGUAUAAAGAGCUCAUUUAUCAACUAAUAUAGUAGCUCAUAAUGAUUAUUAUAACCUAAAAAAAUUGAUAAUAUACAGUCUCCGUAAAAGUUGCUUUAGAUACUUUUGUUCUCUAUCUAUUAAAGUUUUAUUUGUAUUUUUUUCAAUCUCUCCAAAAAUUCAUAUUUCAUUAGAAAUUAUAAUCUCCUUUUAAAUAUUCUCUAGAGUUUGAUCAUUAGAUAUCAUGAGUGUUAUGCAUGUGGAUGUACAUGGUUAGAGAAAUAUAGUCUACUACAAAUAUAAUAAUGAUAUACAUGUAUAUAUACUGCUAUACUUGAGGGAUGUACUUGAAUGUAACCGUAUGGUCUUUUUACAAGUAAAAUAAUGAUAUAAAUGCAUGUGUAUACACUUAUAUGCUAGAGACUUAAGAAGUAAGAUAAAAGAUACAUAAAAGAGGAAAUAAUAGUUCGAAACAGAUAAAUUUAUUUCUAAACUUCAAGCCAAUAUAUAGGCAAACACUUGACAUAGUACUUCCACUAAAACAACACACAUAUCAAUUCACGUUAAGUGUAAAACAACCUACUUCUUAAAAAUAGAACACAUGACUCCUAAAAGAAAAUACACGACUCCACUAAUUCCUAGAAAUCAGAAGAACUCUCAACUUAAAAAAUCACAACUCCUAAAGACUAGGCCAACUAGUAGAAGAAAAUAAUGGACUAAAAUUUCAAUAAUACCCCCUGUAAUUGAUGCUUGUUAACAGUCAGUUCAUAUCUUUGAUUGUGCGGACGCCUAACAGCCUUCUAAUUUUUAUGAAUGACUUUGUUUUUAGGGCCUUGGUGAAAAUAUUAGCAACUUGAUCUUCACUCCUGCCGUAGAUCAGAUCAAUUGUUCCAUUAUUGCUAAGAUCUCGUAAAAAAUAAAACUUCACAUUCAUGUGCUUGCUUCUUCCAUGUAGCACUGGAUUCUUGGAUAGUCGAACUGCUAAAUCGUUGUCACAAAAUAUCUUGAUAGCUUCUGAUUGCUUGAGUUUCAAAUCCUCUAAAAAUCUCAUAAGCCAAAUAGCUUGACAAGCACAAGCAGUCGCAACAAUAAAACUCGGCUUCCGUAGUAGACAAAGUGACAAUUGGUUGCUUCUUAGCCGACCAUGAAAUAGCACUAAAUCCAAACAUAUAUAAAAACAUAACCUGAAGUAUUCUUUUUUUCAUCUCGAUCACCAACAUAAUCACUAUCAGUAAACUCAAGAAGAUUGGACUUUUCACUCUUCUUAUAAAAUAACCCAAAAUCUCUCAUUCUGUAAAAGUAAAGAAAAAUUCGCUUGGCAACGAACAAAUGUAUUUCUAUUGGAUUCUCCAUAUACCUACUGAUUAAACUCACAUAGUACAUUAUGUCAGGCCUUGUAGCAGUGAGAUACAUCAAGCUGCCCACAAUUUACUUGUGAAGUGUGUUGUCAACCUUCUUCCCAGUAUGAUCUUUGUGUAGCUUCAAACCAAGUUCAGCAGGGUAUAACUGAAUUACAAACCAUCAUAUGAAAUCCAUCAAGAAUUUCCCCUACAUAUUUCUUCUGAGAAAUAAAAAUCUCUUUAUCAGAUUGCACCACCUAUAGUCCAAUAAAGUAAUGCAUCAAUCCGAGGUCGGACAUUUCAAACUCAUCCAUCAUCGACUUCUAAAUUCUUCAAACAUGACAUCACAAUUUUCAGUCAAAAUAAGAUCAUCAACAUGCAAUCAAAUAAUGAACAUCAUUCCUUGAUUCCCAAUUUAACAAAUAACGUAUGCUCAUAAGAUAUUUUUAAAAAAUAACUUUUAGAAAAUACCCCUCAAUACAAUUAUACCAAGCCCAAAGAGCUUGUUUUAAACCAUAAAGGGCCUUUUUCAAUCUGUAAACCUUAUGCUUAUUUUCAAUUUUAACAUAAUCAGGGGUUGUUUAACAAAUACCUGUUCCUCUAAGUACCCAUGUAGAAAUGCCGAUUUGACAUCUAGCUAAAAAAUAGGACAAGACUUCUGAGCUGCCAAUGCUAUAACCAAUCAAAUUGUAUCAUGUUUCAUGGGAGAGUAUACUUUGAUAUAAUCGACCCUCUAUCAUUGCUUGUAUCCUUAGCCACUAAACGAACCUUGUACUUGUCCACUUCUUCAUUUUCCUUCAAUACUAUUUUAAACACCCACCUUGCUCUAAUGGUUUUCUGUUCAUUUAGAAGAUCGAAUAAUUCUCAAGUAUCAUUUCACUUAAUGACAUCAAUUUCAUCAUCGAUUGUUUUUCUCUAAUUUUCUUCCUUCAGAUUAUUCUCAGAAGAGGUAGGAUCACAAUCUAAAAACAAAGAAAAAUGAGUUAUUGGAUCUUCAAUUCCAGUUACCUUAUAAUCCUUCAUCCAAGUAGGCCUUCUUCUAACGUGCUCGAUAAUUUGACUUGCUUCUUUAUUUGCUACAGAAACUGUUAGUGGUGUUGUAGGAGCUGAAACUGAUGUAUUUUCUAGUAUGCAAGGUGCUGAAAAUUGCUCCUGUUCAGCUUCACUGUCAUAGAGGCUCCGGGUUUGGAUGCUCAGUUCCCCGAUCGUCCUUAGUUUGCUUAGGCGCUACUCAACAACAUUUGUGGUUCGGAUGCUCAGAUCCCCGAUCGCCCUUAGUCAGCUCAGGUUCCACUCAACUACAUUUGUGAAAAUCUUGGCAAUCCUAAUGGAACCGGGGGAAGAUGAAGUGCCUCAUCAUACUCAAAUUCCAUGCACUUGGAGUUGGAGCAAAGAUACAAUGUUGACAAUCCUAUGUUACCGGAAGAACUUUUUUUUUUUUUUUGGUUUCCCGAGGUAUCUCCAUAGUCGGCAGUCAUGAGACUAAUCCUUCGUUCCUAUUGUCAGCGCACUAAGCGAUAGAGAACUGACCACAGAGUUUUUUUCAUUCACCAAAGGUGCGGAUUGAACCUCCAACCUCUUGCUUAAGGGGUGAGGUGCUGAACCACCACACCAACUCUUGUGGUUAGAUACAGUGUUGACAAUCCUUUGUUACUAGAAGAACUCUUUUUUUUUUUUUUUUUGGUUUCACAAGGUAUCCCCACAAUCGACAGCCGUGGGAAGAACUCAUUACAACACUUCCUGUAAGAUUCCAGUUGAAAGCCUCUUACAAUUCAAGUUUGUUUCAAAAGAUUGGUUUGCGCUGAACUCGAAACCAAAACGAGCCAGAUAUGAACAAAGUGACGCAAAUAAGUCACUUAUUUUAUUUGUAACCAAAAUAGGCUAAACUAAAUAUUUUAUUACGUUUUAUAUUACUUUUUUGAUAGAUCCAUAAUGGCUCCAAAUAGUUUGAAAAAAUCUAAA